AGGGAAAAGAAGAAUUGUAGAGUGGAAGUACGUUUUGAGCAUUUAAGUGUUGAUGGAAAGGCUUAUGUUGGCCGUAGUGGUCUUCCAUCCUUACCAAAUUUCUCUAUCAAUUUACUGCUGGGUUUGAUGAAUAAUCUCCGAAUAAGUCCAAGUAGGAAAAAAAAGUUUAUGAUACUUCAUGAUGUUACUGGGAUCAUCAAGCCAUCCAGAAUGACAUUACUUUUGGGUCCACCAAGCUCAGGGAAGACGACAUUACUUCAAGCUUUGGCUGGAAGACUCAGUUCAGACAUAAAUGU